UUACAAAAGCGCCCUCUAAAGGGGGCCUAAGAGGGCGCUUCUAAAAGCGCUCUCUAAGGCUUUCCAAAAGCGCCUUAUAAACUUCAAAUGUACAUGGACAUAGAGAGCGCUUUUUUAAAAGCGCCCUCUAAGGUUACCCUUAGAGGGCGCUUUCAAUUAAGCGUCCUCUAUUGGUGUCCCUCCAUUUCCUCAUUAUUUUUUCGCUUCACUUUAGAGUGCGCUUUGUUACAAAAGCGCCCUGUAAAGUGCGCUGUCUAUUCCAAUAGUAUGCUCCUUAUUUUUUCUCUUCACUUUAGAGUGCGCUUUUGUAGUAAAGCGCCCUCUAAGGGGCGCUGUCUAUUCCAGUUUUUGGCGUAGUGUUGGCUUGUUUGUCGAGGUUGAUAUGACCCCUCUUGACUAAAGCCCACCCUUUGUUUUGAGCCUCUUGUAUGUAUAUAGUGUGUGAUGAUUGUUUGCUUGUGAACCUUUUGAUGUGUUUGCUUUUGAUGUUUAUUUGUGGUUGGGAGUCAGGUAUAAGUCCAUAUAUUGGCAUUCUGUUUCCGUUUUGUGGUUAGGAGUCGGAUAUAAGUCCAUGUAUUGGCAUUCUAUUUCCUUUUUGUUGUUCGGAGUCGGAUAUAAGUCCAUGUAUUGGCAUUUUGUUUCCUUCUAUUGAGGAUCUCUUUUGAGAUUUGUGUGAUUGCUUUUGCCUUGCGCUUGCUUACUCCAAAGGAACUUACUUGGAUCAUCUAUAUGAUCUCAAGAGAGGAACUCCUAGUGUGGUUUUAUUCCAUAUCCUCUCACCCUUAUUCUUCAUUUCUCCAUCCUUAACCCAAACCAAAAAACUUUUUGUGCAAACAUUUGACUUGUUUUUAACAUUAGAAACCUAAUCCUUAUGCUUUUGAUUUUCAAACUUUCUUUUCACAAUACUCAUUUUGAAUUGAAUCUUUAAG
rnacentral:lncRNA from 1 species